ensembl:lncRNA
CUCCCCCUCCUCAGCCUCUGAUGUCACAGUAAAGCGCACCCUGUGCUCUCACGAUAGGAGAUCUGACUUCAUGAAAAUACUUUUUCAAAGUCUUAAGGAUCAUAAAAUUAAAAAGUGCAUAAAUUAUCUGUGUUAAAAUCUGUUUUAAACCCCAUUCCAGUUUCACUACAGCAGCAUACAUCAUAUCCUGUCACCUGUCAAAGUUUAUAUAACGACAUCUUUACAGCCUGACAGAAAAACUUUGUAAGUUAAGAAGACUUUUAAGUAAUUACCAACGUGUUCACUUGGACGUAUCCCAUGUGUUACACUAAAUCCCUGCAUUGUAUUUAAAGUGGACAUAAAACACUACAUGUGUAAAGGUUAGUUUACACCAUGGAGCCCUGCUGUCAAAGACUGUCAGAGGUGUAACACUGUCUCUGAAGCUGGAUUUAAAAUAGUGAGUGUUUAAAGAUUCAUUUUAUUAAGCACCAUCUUGUGUCAGUACAGAGCGUGACAUCACUGGGUUGGCUGAUUGCUUGCAACUCACAGACAUGCAUAAGUUUAUGUUAGCUAACUAACGACAUAACCAAUAACUUAGCAGAAAACAUAGAAACUAAAACUAAAAACCAGUCUAAGGGGAUGAUUUUGUACUGUCCCUGUCUGCAACAAUGAGUUAUUUUAUACUAAGAAACUGAGGAUAAACUGUCCACUUUCACUCUCUGUCUCUUUAGCAGUAAGUGAUUCUUCAACGUCGGCUAGCUGAACUGAAACAUGAGAAUCCACCUGUGUUAAGAAUGAGGAGGAGAGCCUGUUUGAGUCAGGUACACUGGUGGUUCACAAAACUAAUGCUGAUUUUAGUUUUCGUAUUCUUGCUUUGCACUAAGUGAUCUGAUCUGUCGCUAGUUAGCAAACAUAAAUGAAUAGAAGUCUAUUAGCCGACCAACCCAGUAACAUCACAUGCUGUACUUGCACAACAUGGUGCCAAACAUACUCUACAAAUAGAAACUUUAUUUCCAGCGUCACAGACAGUGUUAAAUCUGUGAAAGCUUUUUAGAGCGUGGCUUCGUGGUGUAGAUUAGCCUUUUUACAUGUAGCGUUUUAUGUUCACUUUAAAGAAAAUACUUAAAUACUAAAUGCAUUAGUGAUGUAAGUUGAUGUUAUCCUAUUGAAUGAAUCCUUCCAGUAGCAUGAAUGCACAGCGAUAUGGUUUAAUCCUUAAUUAUAAUCAUUUUUUCUUAUUUGCAUGUAUAAAAAAUUAUCCACCCUCCAUCCUCUGUCUACCCAAUCCUCUUUACCUUUUAGACCCUGUUUUUAAAUGUGCACACCACACGAGACGUUCUUGUCUUGACUUUCAGUGAACACAAAUAUGUCUAUACAGCAUCUGCUUCCAUCACUCACACAUGGAGGUAAAUCUUUAUCUGUGCAAAGAGUCAUUUUACUGUAAUAGUUACAUUAAUCUGACAAUUUACAGGAUAUCUUCACAUUCACAAAUAAAACAUUUUUUUUUAGCAUUAGCUUAUAAAAUAUAAAGAUUUGUUUACAAAACUGUAAAACCAGGACAUCUUACAUUAUAAUUCAUAGAGAGGAAAACUGGCUUCACCUUUAAGAGAAAACACUUAACACUUUGGAGAGAAGAAAAAAAUACUUCCAUGUCUACUAAUUACUUGAUAUAAUCUGAGUUCAUGUGAUCUCAGCUUUACAAUCGUCCAACAGUUCUGCACCUCACAAAACCGCCACCGAGAAAAGGGAAAAAUCAAGGUCACAUGACAUAUUACUCAGUUUCUGUCAUGAACUCUAACAGCUCAGUUUGCUUCUCCUGUUUGUGUCUUAUAACUAGCUUUGGUGUCAUGACACCCUGUCCCACACACCAACAGAAAUCCCUAUCCUAAUGAGGACACACAUAUGAUCUUUCUUUUAUUAUUAAGGUUUCAACACAAAGCAGCCCAAAGAGACUUCAAAGCGAUCACCAGCUGCUCCACUGUAGAAACAUGGACAGGUAGAAACAGCAAUUUCAAGUCUGACUGAUCAUCUCUGCCUUUGUUACCUGUUACAGUUCAGACUCUGGCUGCUGGGCUGGGGUCUGCAUACACCCAGUUUCAGCAACACUCAGGGUUAUUGGCUAACUUAGCUUAGCAUUAGCAUACUGUCUGUGCAAAUGGUUGCAAAGAGCCAAAGUUCUGUUACCAGCAUACUACAGUUUAGCAUUGCUCUGUUGUCCUUCUGUGCAAACAAUAAAUAAAAGUAAUGGCCACAUCUCCACUGUAAACCACUCCACCAUUUUCCUACUUCAUGUAGUGCAACAAAGAGUUUCAGUUCACACAUGAUAGUACAAACCGUGACGCCUGCGUUUUUUAUGUUUUCGGUAAAUUAAAAAAACACCAGCAAUGAUGAACAUCGCAGGAAGGGGCAGACCAGCUUUCAGUCCAACAAAUCCAUCCUCGUUCACUCCGUCUCCACUCUGUCCUCCUGUCUGACCUGCAGGAACAACUCUCAGGUAGAUGCUGCUGAUGGACUUCCCAUCUAACAAACGACACUCAUAUGUUCCCGUGUCCUCAAUCUUCACAUCCUUCAGAAUCAAAGACACGUCUCCAUCCGUCAUCUGUCUGUCCUGCAGAUCCACCCGGUCCUUAAAAUUUGGAUGCUGGUUUGCUGAAUCAAGCUGCUGGUCCCGGUACAAAAGGACAUAUUGUGUCUUCAGGUCAGCUCUGCUCCACUCCACACCUGUGAUGUCGCUGUUUGGACCUCGACACGACAGAGUGGCAGUCUGUCCAGUAUCCGCUGUGAUGAUUUUCCAGUCUGAAAGAAGAAAUAAUUCAGAGCCGAGAGUUUAAUGGGAUCAAAGUAUAGCAGCCAAUCAGAGUAAGGAGCUAAGAGACUACUCAGCAUGGGAUUUUCAUGUGUUUCACAUGGCAGCUCAGGUAACUUUAUAAUCUUAUGACCCCCUUAAGUCCUUUUAUGAUCUAUCUUUUAAUCUAAAUUGUUUAUUUUCUUGUUUUCGGUGCUGUUUUACUAUUAAACUGUUUGGAAAUUCUUCAUCAUCCUUCAAAGAUCAGCAGGUCUCCGUCUCUGUGGGAACUCUGUGGACAAAUGGAUUGGGAACAGAGGGAGUUCUCAUGACAGUGUUACAGUCCCCUACAACUACAAAUGCAUUGGUAACAGCAAAUAGUCUUUAUGUGAGCCUAACAGAGCAACACCACAUGUGUGGAUUGUCAGAGCUCUGUCAAUGCUUUCCUGCACAGCUGAAGUCCAUGGCUGGCCACCGGGAAAUGUCCCUGAUAGAACUCAGCUCACCUGCAUUGAGCUACCUAGUCUUGGGACUGGUAUUAGGAGCACACCGGCCUCUGAGCCCUUCUUAUAGAGGUGGGCAGAUCCAUCCAAAUAUCAGUAUCGAUACAGUGAUGAUAUUGGUAUCAGAUUGAAAAUGUGUUGAGAAUUUUCAAUUUGAGGACGACUGAGCCCAUAAAUCACAACACACUGCUCACCCUAACAUAAUCUGCCUUUAUGACUUAAAAGUAUAGGUACUGGUAUCUGCAAUACUGACCCUAUAUUUACUUGAUAUUGGAUGAACACAAGAAUAUGUAGUAUUGCACAGCAUUACUCUUUGGUAAAAUCCUGUUGUAGGCUAUAACAUAAUGUUCCAUAAAAGUAAAAAUGCAUAACUUUUGCAAUUAAUUGUCCAAAACUGGUCUAGUUUUAUGCAGGUUAUAGUAAAAGCUGUUUUUUAAAAUACAUAUAUCACUUGUAAACAUGCAGUCGAUAUAGUCUCCACCUCCUCCUGCACACCUGAAACUCCUCCCUCAGUGACAGCGCAGAGCAACAUUAUCUGUUCUCGGGAUCUUAUCGUGUUAAUGAAAAGAAGCUGUUGGGAACUGAGCCCAGCACCCCGCCGUGCGUAUUUCAGAAUAACUGCAAAUAAAUCGGGUUGCGCGCUGAGUUUUCGUGUCUCAUCUCCACAGCACAGGUUAAACAGACACUAAUGACACAGAUAUUAUAGGCUCAGCUUUACAGACUUUUCAGAGUAUAAAGUAUAAAGUAUAUAUAGUAUAAAGUGAACUCUCGGACUUCAUGUUGCUUUAAAACAGCUCGAGUCUCACCUGCAGAGACCAGCAGGACGCAGACAGACAGCAAACUCCAGCAGAGACACGCAGACCUCCCAGCUCUCAUUUCCGUGUUCGGACUUUUCCUUCUUCAGCUUUAAAACAAACUUUAAACUUCCUCAUCGAUAGAUCCUGGGUUUGAGAUUAUCUGAUUUGUACUUUAUUAAAAACAUUAACAUUUAAUGUUGUUUAAAUAUGUUUCCUCCGUGCGUCUUCCGCCUCUUCCGUGAUCGUGUCAACGCAAGCAGGGGCGUGGAAG